CCCCUUGUAGCUUAAUGGAUAAAGCAGGGCUCUUCUAAGGCCUUGAUGGGGGUUCGAUUCCCUCCAAGGGGACAA
rnacentral:tRNA from 1 species